rnacentral:tRNA from 1 species
GAGAGGUAAGCAUUUUUGCUGUGCAAUUAGUUUGAAACUAAAAGGAGGGGGUUCAAGUCCUUCAUCUCUUG